GUGUGUGUGUGUGUGUGUGUGUUGGGGGGUCACCAUAGCAGGAAACAGAGCAAGGCUCCCGAGGCUGUUUUGCUUCAGUGACUGUCAGCUCAGCUGGAAUGAGAACAUGAUUGCUAGGAUUUAUGCAGCCAUGUUGGACUUUGAGGUGUGAGCCUCACGCCUGGGACAUCAGAGCACCAACAGAGACGGAUCUUUGAUGAUGUGGCCCUACCAGCCUUGGGUCAUGUCCCUGUGGACUUCUUCCAUAUGCUGCUAUGAUUCAAAUAAGCCCAAUAGUCUUUUGAUUCAUCAAGAAAAUGAUAGACUGAGAGGACCAGAGGUUUUCAUCCCAGAUGCACACGGUCCU